CUAUCUUAUUUUUGUUCCCGCCCCUGUACUUCUCUGGAAUUUAAAAUUGGCAGGCUCUGAAAUGAAAGAACUUUCUAGAGCAAUGGAAGACGCGAAGAAGAGACCUUCACGAAGCAUAUCGGGCAGGAGAGGAAAGUUUACAGAGACGGCUUCUUCGAUCUUCACAUCUCAACAAACAAGUAUCUUGAAGAACGAUGAAGCUGUUAGCUCCUGUUAAACCCUGACGUUUGAUGCAUAUUGUGUUGAUGCUUGUGAUCCCGAAGGAGAUUGCAAGCAUACACCUGUUUUGAAUUAUCAAGUGAAGAUAUAUAAAAAAUCCGCCGUCAAACAAAAUAAUUUAUAUUUGUUGCUUUCCUUAAAUGUUGAAUAGAGGCUCCUACAACUGAAAUUCUUUUGCUUUGGCUGGGGUCUCUGUUCUGUUCCAUUGCACCUGGAAUAAAUUUUGCAAAUUUCAGCAGUUGCAGACUCCCCCAUUCAAGAGAUAUAAUUGCCCGGUUAUGUUAAGUUGCUGCUACAACUGGAUCCACUUCUCUUGGUCGGCUACAAGUGGCAUCCUCUACAAGCUUAAGCCUUCAAGAUGCUAUCUUCCAAACAAGCUGCUGCCACAGAUAAUUUCCAGUACCUAUAAUCUGCUCAGCCUGGUUUUAUUCCCAAAAGCCCUGAGCAAUGUCAAUUGCCAAGAAACCAGACUCAUGCAUGUUUUGUAUGCUAUUCACCCAGGUGUAGUUCAGAGUUUGUAUAGCACUGGAUUUGGACUGGCAUGUCUUUUACCUGUCAUGUGUUUUGUUUUUGUAACUAUUAGCUCUUAUAGGCCUCUUCUUGAACUCUAUCUCUAUAGGAACUUUGAUAGACAUUCAAAAGGAGUUGACCUCUUUCAGUAUAGCUUUACUUUUGUAGAUUUGCCGGUCUUAAGCUUGAUUUUGCUAUCUUUCUCUUGCAGCUUAGGUUGUUUCCGAGUCUUUCAUGGCCGGUUGUUUUUGCGUUAAUAUAUACUUUACUUACCCCAAAAAAAAAAAAAAAAAAGUGAAAUUCCCUUUUUCUCUUUAUUGAAGUUCAAUACUGUUUGUCUUCUUGCUUCAGAGCAAAUCUUUUGAAAGACUGUGAUCAUAUUCUGUCUGUGAAUAUAUAUAUAUAUAUUUUGUUUACUUGUAAUUUUUGCAUACCAUAUCUGCUUUUUCUAUUUGUUUUUGGAGAAAUAGUUGAAAGAAAUUAGGGAAAGGGACAGAUCUCAAUUGGUAUGGCUCGUGAUGUGGAGCUAGUGCCUUGAACUUUUGAUUUGUUUAAAUGCUUGUUAUGUAAUGAUUUCCCAAGUUAUCCGGAUGGGAUGGAGGAAUGGUUUGCAAAUAUCCUAUUUUGAAAUGGUCCAUUGGAUCAGAUUCUGCAAAAUAAAUUUCUUCGCUCAUCUAAUGAAACUUCAAUUGCAUUAAGUUCCCUCUCCAUUAACAAUUAGUCCUAAUGAUCUUAUGUACUACUGCUUAGAUUUUACUUGCAACUGGUGAUAAUAAAUAUUUAUAUAUACAGCCAACUCAGAUCUUGUCCAUCCUCCAAAAACCGAAGACUCCAGGAAGCACUGAUGCUGGGAGGUCGCCUAGUAACAGCAUUACAGGGAAUUCUUUGUCUAUCAAAAGGAUCAAGUUUCAGAUGGUGUUAUCAGUUCAGCGGUAAAAUCUACCAGUUGUGGCAAUCAAAUCUCCGAGAACACUAAAAUUGGAAACAUAAACCAGCAAACGCAGAGAAUGAAACUGUCCUCCGGGGCUCUGAUGGAUAGUGGGAAAUUAAAGAAAUUCGCUUAACAACAUAGAAAGAGUGUAUUUUAUGUUCAUACUUGAAAAUUAUCGUGUGCAUAUUCUUACCCGCCGUUUGGCAUUAGAAUGGCUUGGAGAGGAAGAUCUUCUAAGAGGUGAUCCUGAAGGCACAAAUGAAAAGCGAAGUGGAGAGUCUGCUCCUGCACGUCUCUCUGAUAAUGCGUACAUAAAUCAAUGUAAGAUUGUAUUGCAGUUGACAAUCCUUGGAUACCAAAAAAAAAAAAAAAUCCCAUUUCCAAAAACCUGGUGUUUUGUUGCCUGAAAUUCUUGUAAAAAAAGACAUUCCUUGUCUUGAGGAAGGCUGUGGAGAUUGCAAUGUGUACUGCACUUGUCUGCAUCACAGUUAAUUGCAUUAAGAGAAAUGUGAGAAUUGGGGCACAAGCUCAGAAAGUAUUGAAUACGACAUGGACAAAGAUUACCUGAGAUAAGUUGAAGGGCUCUCUGUAGUUGUUACUUGAGCAGCUGACAGAACAUAUCAAAAGAUUGUCAGGUUUUUUCCCAGUAUUUGGGAAAGCAUUUUAUACUCAUUCUUGGAAAUAAAUUUGUCGUAUAGUGGUGACCCGUUGAGCUAU